rnacentral:sRNA from 1 species
AAUAUUUGCUUCUAGGGUUCCGAUUUAAGAGUUUAAAGUUUUUAAAUGACUGGUCCAAGAGAGGCAGGCUAACUGGAAUUUUUAACAACAGACAAUUUGUUUCAAGUCAGUAGCUACACGGCGGGAUAAAAGCCCGGGAGGA